AUUGAACGCUGGCGGCAGGCCUAACACAUGCAAGUCGAACGGAGUGGCGGACGGGUGAGUAAUGUAUCGGAAAGUGCCCAGUAGCGGGGGAUAACUACGCGCAAGGGUAGCUAAUACCGCAUACUAUCGGAGCGGCCGAUAUCGGAUUAGAUAGUCGGGGGGGUAACGGCUCACCAAGGCGACGAUCCGUCGCUGGUUUGAGAGGACGACCGGCCACACUGUGACUGAGAAACGGCCCAGAUUCCUCCGGGAGGCAGCAGUGGGGAAUGUUGCAAAAUGGGGGAAACCCUGAUCCAGCCAUCCCGCGUGUGCGAUGAAGGCCUUCGGGUUGGAAAGCACUUUUUGCAGGAAAGCGGUACCUGCAGAAUAAGCACCGGCUAACUACGUGCCAGCAGCGGCGGUAAUUC
rnacentral:rRNA from 1 species